UUAAAAAAAGAAAUAGCUUUAAAAAAAGUAGAAUAGUACAGGGAAGAUUAGUAUAACCCCUGCACAAGGAUGAGGUGCAGAUUUGUGAAGUGUUCCAUACACUA